GUGGCCUUUGGCGUUGUGUAAUUGUUUGCUUUCUGAGAAACCAAAACCUAAUGACCUUGCAGACUCGCUGGUACACAGCCUCCCACAGGCCUCCAUUCAUUUCUUUCAGGUAAGAUUAUAUCUUGAGGGGCCAGCAGGUGGCGUGGUGGGAUAAUUGGAAUCCAUUCUCUGAAGGUGGUGACAUCCUUUGGGGACUAAACUGCUGUCAUGGUAGUUAAAAGACAAAGCAAAGAGAAUUCCCUGGUGACAUGUCACCUGGCAGGUCGUGUUUGUCUUACCGUGAAGUCAUUUACUGUGGACGUCUUCUGGGAGAACAGAGACUCGGCAGGACAGGGGCGGCUGACUUUCCUCACCACCCUGUCCUCAGCCACCUCGAAAAGUGCCUCGAACACAGAGUGGGCUGUCAGUAUCCUCGGCCACAUAAACACCUGCACCAAGUUGGGUUUAUAUUGCGUUCAGGUCUUCUAUACCUUUACCAUUUUUUUGUCUGCUUACAAAAGAUGUGGAAAUCUUCCACUAUAAGAGUAAUUUUGCUCAUU